AUUAUCAACCCUCAAGCACGGCUUGUUAUUGGGCCUUACACCGCCUAAAAACGGUGGACCCAAAAGAUAAUGGCAGAGCCCGUGUGGAGACUAGAUGCAGCGAGCUAAUAGCACGUGUCAUAGCGAUCCUCCGGCUCGGUCUUAACAAAAUAUUUUCUCAGGUUGACCUCGGAUCAGGUAGGGAUACCCGCUGAACUUAA
rnacentral:misc_RNA from 1 species